rnacentral:miRNA from 1 species
UGUGAGCCUGUAGGGUUUGCCCC